ACAGAGGUUCGACCCGAGCGAAGCGAGAGAACGUUGCGUCAGCAACGGCCCGCAGUG
rnacentral:sRNA from 1 species